CCUACGGGUGGCAGCAGUGAGGAAUAUUGGUCAAUGGACGAGAGUCUGAACCAGCCAAGUAGCGUGAAGGAUGACUGCCCUAUGGGUUGUAAACUUCUUUUAUAAAGGAAUAAAACGAGGCACGUGUGCCUUUUUGUAUGUACUUUAUGAAUAAGCAUCGGCUAACUCCGUGCCAGCAGCCGCGGUAAUACGGAGGAUGCGAGCGUUAUCCGGAUUUAUUGGGUUUAAAGGGAGCGUAGAUGGGUUGUUAAGUCAGUUGUGAAAGUUUGCGGCUCAACCGUAAAAUUGCAAUUGAUACUGGCAGUCUUGAGUACAGUUGAGGUAGGCGGAAUUCGUGGUGUAGCGGUGAAAUGCUUAGAUAUCACGAAGAACUCCGAUUGCGAAGGCAGCUUACUAAGCUGCCACUGACAUUGAUGCUCGAAAGUGUGGGUAUCAAACAGGAUUAGAUACCCGAGUAGUC
rnacentral:rRNA from 1 species